rnacentral:piRNA from 1 species
UUUAUAUAUCGUGUUGACUUA